rnacentral:rRNA from 1 species
GAAUUGACGGGGACCCGCACAAGUAGCGGAGCAUGUGGUUUAAUUCGAAGCAACGCGAAGAACCUUACCUAAGCUUGACAUCCCAAUGACAUCUCCUUAAUCGGAGAGUUCCCUUCGGGGACAUUGGUGACAGGUGGUGCAUGGUUGUCGUCAGCUCGUGUCGUGAGAUGUUGGGUUAAGUCCCGCAACGAGCGCAACCCUUGUCUUUAGUUGCCAUCAUUAAGUUGGGCACUCUAGAGAGACUGCCAGGGAUAA